UGGGUGUGCUCAGAGCAGGGGUCUGAAGAAAUGGCUCGUCUGUUUAUAACACACCCAACAGGAACUUGGGUUCACUGUGACAAGGGGCACAAAACUUGUAGCCUUCCUAUGAACAAGUACCCAAUAUGU
ensembl:snoRNA